CGGCAGUUGAUCAGAACUUGAGUAUUGUUCUUCACGGACUGUGUUAGCACGGACAGAGGCCCUGUGCUGAAUUCUUCUUCCUCAAUCUUAGCUAACUCUUCCAAUGUCAUCUCCGAGCGUGGCUUGGCCUUAGCAGCAAUUUUGAUAGUGUGUUAUCAAAAUCGCUG